rnacentral:tRNA from 1 species
GGAGUUGUGGCUUUGUGGUGGAGUACCUGCCUGGCAAGCAUGAGGCCCUGAGUUCUAAUCCUAGUCCCUCCA